rnacentral:rRNA from 1 species
GAUGAACGCUGGCGGCGUGCCUAAUACAUGCAAGUCGAGCGAACGGACGAGAAGCUUGCUUCUCUGAUGUUAGCGGCGGACGGGUGAGUAACACGUGGAUAACCUACCUAUAAGACUGGGAUAACUUCGGGAAACCGGAGCUAAUACCGGAUAAUAUUUUGAACCGCAUGGUUCAAAAGUGAAAGACGGUCUUGCUGUCACUUAUAGAUGGAUCCGCGUUGCAUUAGCUAGUUGGUAAGGUAACGGCUUACCAAGGCAACGAUGCAUAGCCGACCUGAGAGGGUGAUCGGCCACACUGGAACUGAGACACGGUCCAGACUCCUACGGGAGGCAGCAGUAGGGAAUCUUCCGCAAUGGGCGAAAGCCUGACGGAGCAACGCCGCGUGAGUGAUGAAGGUCUUCGGAUCGUAAAACUCUGUUAGUAGGGAAGAACAUAUGUGUAAGUAACUGUGCACAUCUUGACGGUACCUAAUCAGAAAGCCACGGCUAACUACGUG